rnacentral:rRNA from 1 species
CCUACGGGUGGCAGCAGUCGAGAAUCAUUCACAAUGGGGGAAACCCUGAUGGUGCGACGCCGCGUGGGGGAAUGAAGGUCUUCGGAUUGUAAACCCCUGUCAUGUGGGAGCAAAUUAAAAAGAUAGUACCACAAGAGGAAGAGACGGCUAACUCAGUGCCAGCAGCCGCGGUAAUACAGAGGUCUCAAGUGUUGUUCGGAAUCACUGGGCGUAAAGCGUGCGUAGGCUGUUUCGUAAGUCGUGUGUGAAAGGCGCGGGCUCAACCCGCGGACGGCACAUGAUACUGCGAGACUAGAGUAGUGGAGGGGGAACCGGAAUGCUCGGUGUAGCAGUGAAAUGCGUAGAUAUCGAGAGGAACACUCGUGGCGAAGGCGGGUUCCUGGACAUUAACUGACGCUGAGGCACGAAGGCCAGGGGAGCGAAAGGGAUUAGAUACCCGGGUAGUC